GGUGACUCAGUGGUAGAGUGCUUGCCUUGCAUGCAUGAGGCCAUGGGUUCGAUUCCUCAGCACCA
rfam:Dipodomys ordii contig_40975, whole genome shotgun sequence.